rnacentral:lncRNA from 1 species
CUGAGUUUCCCCGUUGAGGCGGCGGCGGCUGCUUCCACUGAUUCCUUUGCUGAUACUGCAGCUAGCAUUUCUAGGCUUCCAUUGUUGACUGAGGAGCAGUGACUCUCUGGAAACUCUCCAGUUUUCAGCAUCACAUUGGGACUGCUGAAGCUCCAAGCCUCGUGGACUGAGAGCUCAGCCCCUCUGGUAUGAGACACCGGUUGUUAUUUCAAUAGGAGGAAACUGAGGCCCAGAAACUGAAAGUAAGAUGCACCUGUGCACAAAAUUGGAAUCAAAUCCAAGUAUCUCAGUGCCAAGAGUCAGGACCCUGGACGAAUCUGCCUCAAGCCAUGUCUGACACAGGAAGGCAUACAUCAAAGGGAUAACAGGUGACGAGCAGAACACCUCUGCAUCCAGUUGGAGAACGUUGUAGAAUGAGUUGAUAUGAAUGGGAAGAGCUAGAAAGAUCGUGAAGACUCGGGUUCCCACCAUAUUUACGUCUGUGAUGGUGGAGACGCUGUGUGAACAAUGGAAGCACUGGACCAAAGGAAGCAGCAGGAGGAACAGCCUAGGCUCGGUGCUUCCCGGCUUCUCCAUUAAGAGUGGGUAGCAGAGAGGCUCAACUGACCGCAAGAGACACCAAGCAAGGUACAGAAACCCGAAGAGCUUGUGCUCAAAAUCCAUGUAUCUGCCAUCGCCAGCC